UGGGGAAUUUUGGACAAUGGGCGCAAGCCUGAUCCAGCCAUGCCGCGUGCGGGAAGAAGGCCUUCGGGUUGUAAACCGCUUUUGGCAGGAACGAAACGGCGCAAGCCAAUACCUUGCGCUAAUGACGGUACCUGCAGAAUAAGCACCGGCUAACUACGUGCCAGCAGCCGCGGUAAUACGUAGGGUGCAAGCGUUAAUCGGAAUUACUGGGCGUAAAGCGUACGCAGGCGGCUUUGCAAGACAGGUGUGAAAUCCCCGGGCCUAACCUGGGAACUGCAUUUGUGACUGCAUCGCUAGAGUCUGUCAGAGGGGGGUGGAAUUCCACGUGUAGCAGUGAAAUGCGUAGAGAUGUGGAAGAACACCGAUGGCGAAGGCAGCCCCCUGGGAUGAGACUGACGCUCAUGUACGAAAGCGUGGGGAGCAAACAGG
rnacentral:rRNA from 1 species